AGGGGAACUAAAGCAGCUUGGUCAAGGAGAGCCGUAGAUCCAGAAUGUUCUGUCGAUUUUGAAUGUUCAGCUUCUGCUUUGGCCCCAGGACAUGGAAGCAGAGCUUAGGCAAUUGUGAGGCCGGGUAACUUUGAGAUUCCCCUGUGGAACACGUGGUGUGGCCAAUGCGUUUUAUGACGGUAUGGACAAGAUGAACGGACAUGGUUUAAGGUCUUGUCAACAACAUGAAGAACUGUCUCCUGAGCCCGUCUUCAUGUGCCAGACCAGUAAGUGCUGAACAUACGAUAUGCAUUAUCUCAUGAUUAGCAGAUUCUAAUACCAUUAUUGGGUCUUAUUUUACAGAGGAGGAAACGGUGCAAUGAAGACACCUGAUUCUAGAAGCUAGAAGCUCAUGAUUCUAGAGCUAGUCAGUGACUGAGCCGAACUUGACACUCAUUCUUUCUGCUAAUGAAGUUCAAGCUUUUGACCACAAUGCUGCACUGCCCAGCGUUCCAGUAUGAGGGGCAAGAAGAGAGUGUCAGAACUGGUAUACCAUCCUGUAAAAUCUCAAAGGUCUGAGCUACGUCUCUGAUGUGAGGUGACAUAAGCC
rnacentral:lncRNA from 1 species